rnacentral:rRNA from 1 species
CCUACGGGAGGCAGCAGUGGGGAAUAUUGGGCAAUGGGCGCAAGCCUGACCCAGCAACGCCGCGUGAAGGAAGAAGGCUUUCGGGUUGUAAACUUCUUUUAUCAGGGACGAAGCAAGUGACGGUACCUGAUGAAUAAGCCACGGCUAACUACGUGCCAGCAGCCGCGGUAAUACGUAGGUGGCAAGCGUUAUCCGGAUUUACUGGGUGUAAAGGGGGUGUAGGCGGGAGUACAAGUCAGAUGUGAAAACUAUGGGCUUAACCCAUAGCCUGCAUUUGAAACUGUACUUCUUGAGUGCUGGAGAGGCAGUCGGAAUUCCGUGUGUAGCGGUGAAAUGCGUAGAUAUACGGAGGAACACUAGUGGCGAAGGCGGACUGCUGGACCGUUACUGACGCUGAGGCGCGAAAGCGUGGGGAGCAAACAGGAUUAGAUACCCGAGUAGUC